rnacentral:rRNA from 2 species
UACGUAGGGGGCAAGCGUUGUCCGGAUUUACUGGGUGUAAAGGGUGCUCAGGCGGAUUAGUAAGUCAGAGGUGAAACCCCGAAGCUUAACUUCGGAACUGCCUUUGAUACUGCUAGUCUAGAGUUUGGGAGAGGCGAGUGGAAUGUCUGGUGUAGCAGUGAAAUGCGUAGAUAUCAGACAGAACACCAAUGGCGAAGGCAGCUCGCUGGUCCAAUACUGACGCUAAAGCACGAAAGCGUGGGGAGCAAACAGG